rnacentral:rRNA from 1 species
GACAGAGGUGCCGAGCGUUAGGCGGAAUCACUGGGCUUAAAGCGUGUGUAGGCGGGUCGUUAAGUGUCUUGUGAAAUCCCCCGGCUCAACCGGGGAAUGGCUGGGCAUACUGGCGAUCUUGAGCAGUCUAGGGGCAGAGUGGAACAAGUGGUGGAGGCGGUGAAAUGCGUAGAUAUCACUUGGAACGCCAACGGUGAAGACAGUCUGCUGGGGACUUGCUGACGCUGAGACACGAAAGCCAGGGGAGCGAACGGG